rnacentral:lncRNA from 1 species
AUCAGUUCUUUGCCUCUCAGCACCCUGCUUUUCCCCCGAGAAAAAGAAAUUAAAGUUAUUUCUUAUGGGCUAGACAGUAUAUUGCCAGGUACUCACAAGUAAAAUCUCUGAUGAAAGUUCUUGGAAUGUUUUUUUCAAAACGGAGUUGAGGUUAUUUUGUUUUUCCUUCCAGGUAUUGAAGACAGGAUUUAUCUUCUCUACUUCUUCUUUUAGAAGCAGAUCAAGAAACUGGCGAUUGAAGAGUAACUGAAAGAAACGCAAUCUGAUCUUACUAGCAGUGAAAGAGCGAGUGGAGGAAACAGAUGAAGGAAACAGCUUACACCAAGAUUUCAGAUACGAUCAUUUUGAAUAGCUAUUUCCUUUACUUUCCAGGAUUGUUUUUGUAAUCAGUUGAAAAAGAAUGCUUUUUUCCCCCUAGAGUUAGGGUUUAAAAAAUUACAUAUUUAUUAUUACACUGUUAAUAAGCUUUUUUGCAGUUUGUUUCUUCUUCAAGUUAUUUCAUUUGUUUCACCCACUGUCAAUGUAUUUAUUUUUUUUAAAAGUCUGAGGGCUACCGUUGGAGGUCUCUCUUAGUGAGACAAUGUAAUGCAUUAUCUAUUGCAG